rnacentral:rRNA from 1 species
UGCGCAGGCGGGGCAAUAAGUCAGUGGUGAAAUCCUGCGGCUUAACCGUAGAACUGCCAUUGAUACUGUUGCCCUUGAGUAUAGUUGAGGUGGGCGGAAUAUGUAAUGUAGCGGUGAAAUGCAUAGAUAUUACAUAGAACACCAAUUGCGAAGGCAGCUCACUAAGCUAUCACUGACUCUGAGGCACGAAAGCGUGGGGAGCGAACAGGAUUAGAUACCCUGGUAGUCC